UAGUCUUUAUCCCUUUGAAUAGAUUUUUUUUAUAGGCUAUAAAAAUUAUUUCUCUAAAAGUUUAGACCUCAUAAGAAAAUCAACAAUAUUAGUUUUUAUUUUUAUACUUGGCAAUUGAAAAAGGGAGAGGUGUAAAGUUAUUUGGAUCAACAAAAAGGGUUGGAGAUUUGAGAGAGAGAUAUGGUACGCACUGAUAGAGAUAGAAACCCAAGGGCAAAUGCAUCAACCUCUGGGCUAAGAAAUGAUGAUAGAGAACCAACCUUACGUGAGAUUGCUGAGGAAGGUAACCCUAUGAUACGCAUGAUGGCUAGGAUUAUGGAACAGCAAAAUAUGUUGAUCACAGAAUUGACACAUCGUGGAAGUACUCCAAGGACUGAGGAGCAAGAACGUCCUACCAAUGAGGGACCUAUCUUUGUGUUGGAGAGAUUUAAAAAGCUUGGACCUCCAUCUUUUCAAGGGACAACAGAUCCUUUGAAGGCUGAGUCAUGGCUGAAGCAAAUUGAAAAGAUUUUCACAGUUAUUGGGUGCACAGAUGAUCAAAGGGUUGUGCUUGCCUCCUUUAUGCUUCAAGGUGAGGCGGAUCAUUGGUGGGAGGCGACCUCUCGCCUUAUGAGGGCUCAUUUAGGAAAUAGACCCAUCUCUUGGCGCAUGUUUCAGGAGGCUUUCAAUGAGAAAUAUUUCCCUGAUCGAGUUCGUUUCAAGAUGGAGGCAGAUUUUCUAAGUUUGAUACAAGGGAAUAAGUCAGUGGCUGAAUAUGAAGAACAAUUCACAGCUUUGUCACGUUUUGUUCCUAAAUUAAUUGAUGAAGAGGGUAGUAAGUGUCGAAGAUUCUUUGAAGGAUUGCGUCCAUCCAUUAAGGCUCAAUUAUCAAUUCUUAAGUUGACAACAUAUUCGGAUAUUGUUGAUCGAGCUAUGAUAGCAGAAAGAUAUUUGAGGGAGUCCCAAACUAGUAGAGAGACUUGGAACAAGAAUAAUAAACAGUAUGAAUCUCGCAUUGGAGGAUCAAACCAGCAGAAUGAUGAGCUAGUAAAACAUUCCAAUAAUGGGUCUUCGCAGAGAAACGUACCCAUGUGUCAGUAUUGCGGUAAUUCACAUAUUGGAGAAUGUCUGAAGAGAAAAGGUGCUUGUUUUGGGUGUGGUGAAGUUGGACAUAGAAUUAGAGACUGUCCAAAGAAAAGAAGUGCUAUUAUGGGAGCUUCCAGUGAUGAAACAGAAAGGAAGAAGCUAAAGACCCAAGGACGUGUUUUUGCCUUAACCAAGCAAGAUGAUAAAGCUCCUAAUAAAGUGGUUUCAGGUAAUUUAUCUUUAUUUAAUAAAGAAGCUGGAGUACAUUUUGAUCUAGGUGCCACCCACUCUGCUAUCCCUCCUAUUUUGCUGGGUAUAUAAAUGAGCCACUUGAACCAUUGGACAAUUAUUUAUUAGUUGCUGCUAUUUUACGUGAUGACAUGCUAAUUGAUAUGGCUUGUAAAUCUUGCAUGGUUAGUUUUGGGUGAUGGUGAAUUUGGCAUGGAUUUUUUACUUUCAGACAUGUGAGACUUUGAUGCUAUACACGGACAGGGUUGUUUAGCAAGGUAUCAUGCUAAGGUGAAAUUUUACGAAGAGUAUAAUCUUACGAAAGCAGGUGCAAAUUUCGAGGACGAAAUUUUUGUAAGAAGGGGAGAAUUGUAAUAUACAGUUUUUGUAUACUUGUUGAUAAAAAAGAUAUGAAGAGAUAUUAAGAUUAAAUAGAUAUGGUUGCAAAGCCAAAAUUAAGGAAAUUAUGUAUUGGAGGAUUAUAAAUAAGGAUUUUAGGAUUUGAUGGAUUUUUUUUAAAAUAGAAAGAAGGGAUAUGAUUGGAUUAAUUGAGAAAUAAGAAGAUAUUGAUUGAUUUUAAUUAAAAUAGUCUUUAUCCCUUUGAAUAGAUUUUUUUUAUAGGCUAUAAAAAUUAUUUCUCUAAAAGUUUAGACCUCAUAAGAAAAUCAACAAUAUUAGUUUUUAUUUUUAUACUUGGCAAUUGAAAAAGGGAGAGGUGUAAAGUUAUUUGGAUCAACAAAAAGGGUUGGAGAUUUGAGACAACGUGAAGAUAUUGGUAUCUCAUUGGUUGAUUAAAGACAUAGUUAGAAAAUUGUUGAGGUAAGUAAAAGCUUACAUAAUAUGUAAUGAUUUUUGUUCUAUAUGAAAAAUGUUUAUAUCGUUGUUUAUGUUAUAAAAUUCUUUUACUAUGAUUGAUAAAUUAUGUUAUGGUUUUAUUUUAGAAGUAUAUGAUCUUGUUAUCUAAAAUACUUUCGAAAAGUGUUUUGAUAUUUUUCUAUAGAAGAAAACUUAUGUUAUA